rnacentral:rRNA from 1 species
CUGAAGAAUAAGCACCGGCUAACUACGUGCCAGCAGCCGCGGUAAUACGUAGGGUGCAAGCGUUAAUCGGAAUUACUGGGCGUAAAGCGUGCGCAGGCGGACUUUUAAGCCAGAUGUGAAAGCCCCGAGCUUAACUUGGGAAUUGCGUUUGGAACUGGGAGUCUAGAGUCUGUCAGAGGGGGAUGGAAUUCCACGUGUAGCAGUGAAAUGCGUAGAGAUGUGGAGGAACACCGAUGGCGAAGGCAGUCCCCUGGGAUAAGACUGACGCUCAUGCACGAAAGCGUGGGGAGCAAACAGGAUUAGAUACCCUGGUAGUCCACGCCCUAAACGAUGUCUACUAGUUGUUGGGGUAGCAAUACCUCAGUGACGCAGCUAACGCGUGAAGUAGACCGCCUGGGGGUACGGUCGCAAGAUUAAAACUCAAAGGAAUUGACGGGG